GUCAGUAUUAGGAACUGUUGGCCAGGUGGGUCAGUAUUAGGAACUGUUGGCCAGGUGGGUCAGUAUUAGGAACUGUUGGCUAGGUGGGUCAGUAUUAGGAACUGUUGGCUAGGUGGGUCAGUAUUAGGAACUGUUGGCUAGGUGGGUCAGUAUUAGGAACUGUUGGCGAGGUGGGUCAGUAUUAGGAACUGUUGGCUAGGUGGGUCAGUAUUAGGAACUGUUGGCUAGGUGGGUCAGUAUUAGGAACUGUUGGCUAGGUGGGUCAGUAUUAGGAACUGUUGGCUAGGUGGGUCAGUAUUAGGAACUGUUGGCUAGGUGGGUCAGUAUUAGGAACUGUUGGCUAGGUGGGUCAGUAUUAGGAACUGUUGGCCAGGUGGGUCAGUAUUAGGAACUGUUGGCCAGGUGGGUCAGUAUUAGGAACUGUUGGCCAGGUGGGUCAGUAUUAGGAACUGUUGGCUAGGUGGGUCAGUAUUAGGAACUGUUGGCUAGGUGGGUCAGUAUUAGGAACUGUUGGCUAGGUGGGUCAGUAUUAGGAACUGUUGGCCAGGUGGGUCAGUAUUAGGAACUGUUGGCUAGGUGGGUCAGUAUUAGGAACUGUUGGC